UGCAUUUAUAAUCUUAAAAAUAGUAUUACUACACACAUUUAGUACACAAUAGUAGUAUUACACACAGUUUAAGCCAGCGCUGGGGUUUUUCCUGACAUAUGCUUGUAAUAACCAGUCAGGCAAUGCUAGACAUUAUCAUUAUUACUAUUAUUAUUUUACUUUAUUAUUAUUGUUAGUGUUAUUGUUCGUGCUGUGGCUUAAUUAUCGUCCAAAAAUGCUGCUAGUUAUAUUAUGGACUUGCGCGUUUUAAUCACUGAUCUCAAGGCUAGGUAGGAGUGGAUAGUGCGUCCACUAUGCAUAAACGAAACCAAUGGUAGCCAUAUUGGUUGGGACCAGAAAUUAACGUUUUACGGUUUCUAGUUAUCGGUGGGAUAGAAUAAACAUUGUCUAAUUAAAAAUGUAUCAAUAGUAGCUUUUCUUCCCUUUUAAAUUUGCCCGUGAAUAACUAAUCGGAGGUCACAUCAAGAUGGCUGCCACAACGGUGUCAUUAUCUAGUGUUUAAAACGUUCUAAAACUCAUUGGAAGAAAUAUGAGAAGCUAUAUCUUUCAUGUUACAUGGGAAAAGAUAUUCGCUUGAUACUGUCUCUAAUUUAAGCACUUCGCAAUCCAAUUGACAGAGUUUAAAAUCUCAUCUCAUUAUAAAUAUUCAGGCUUCAAAAUUGGCUGAUUGGAUUCAAAAGGAUGCUUUAUCCAGUCGCAUUUUGUGUUUUAGGUCGUGCUAACUGGCGGUUUGUCUGAUGAAAAAUGCAUGGCCAACUGGCGGUUCUUCUGGUGGUAUAUGGUAAUCAGAAUAAUAUAAUACCGAUAAAAUAGCACCUAAGAUUACGCCUAUUAUAACAAGCGAGAGCGCAAUUGGACGCAUUACACUCAUAUGCGUGACGCCAGGCAUAACAACUACUACUAUCACUGUCGAUAAAAUGUUCUCCACAGAUAGUAGAGCGUACAAAUAAGAAUAGGGAAUCUUUGAAUCCAUCUCCAGCCAGUGGUAGUAAAUCUCUGUUGGAUGAAAA